AGAGUUUGAUCCUGGCUCAGGACGAACGGCUGGCGGCGUGCUUAACACAUGCAAGUCGAACGAGGAAUCCGUGGAAAGAGUUUUCAGACAAUGGGAAGCGGAGGAAAGUGGCGGACGGGUGAGUAACGCGUGAGGAACCUGCCUUGGAGAGGGGGACAACAGCUGGAAACGGCUGCUAAUACCGCAUGAUGCACAGAAGGGACAUCCCUUUUGUGCCAAAGAUUUAUCGCUCUGAGAUGGCCUCGCGUCUGAUUAGAUAGUUGGCGGGGUAACGGCCCACCAAGUCGACGAUCAGUAGCCGGACUGAGAGGUUGAACGGCCACAUUGGGACUGAGAUACGGCCCAGACUCCUACGGGAGGCAGCAGUGGGGAAUAUUGGGCAAUGGGCGCAAGCCUGACCCAGCAACGCCGCGUGAAGGAAGAAGGCUUUCGGGUUGUAAACUUCUUUUAAGAGGGAAGAGCAGAAGACGGUACCUCUAGAAUAAGCCACGGCUAACUACGUGCC
rnacentral:rRNA from 1 species